rnacentral:rRNA from 1 species
AUACGUAGGGGGCGAGCGUUGUCCGGAAUGAUUGGGCGUAAAGGGCGCGUAGGCGGCGCGGUAAGUCUGGAGUGAAAGUCCUGCUUUCAAGGUGGGAAUUGCUUUGGAUACUGCCGCGCUUGAGUGCAGGAGAGGUUAUCGGAAUUCCCGGUGUAGCGGUGAAAUGCGUAGAGAUCGGGAGGAACACCAGUGGCGAAGGCGGGUAACUGGACUGCAACUGACGCUGAGGCGCGAAAGUGUGGGGAGCAAACAGGAUUAGAUACCCUGGUAGUCCAUGCCGUAAACGGUGGGCGCUAGGUGUAGGGGUCUUCCACGACUUCUGUGCCGUAGCUAACGCAUUAAGCGCCCCGCCUGGGGAGUACGGCCGCAAGGUUGAAACUCAAAUGAAUUGACGGGG